rnacentral:lncRNA from 1 species
UGUCUUGUUGACACAACUGAAUUACAUGUCAAUUUGACAUCUAGUAAGCAUUUGUUCCUUGUCAACUCAAACAGGGUGAUGGUGACUGUAAUAUUUCUUAUUAGGUAGUAACACGUCUGUUCCAGCAAAUGAAAAUGGUAGUGGACCAGUUGGGGGUUGAGUCCCUUUAAACUAACUCAAAGCGCAUCGUAUGUACUUUUCUAUAGAUAGAGGACUUGUCUGAGCAUUUGCUAUAUGAAAAUAACAUAAGCCUGUUGUAUUCUAAGCAUCAUUCUAUUGGUGCAGUGAAGGAAGUCAAACUACUGGGAAAUAUGUUUCAUUUACGCUUUGUAGGAAUUUCAUCAACUGCAUCGCCUGGAAUUUCUUUUAAACAAAACAUUUUGACCUUGUCAAAAAAUGCAUGGCAGUACUUACACAACUUCUUGAAUCGUGAUUGAUCCCGAUUAUUUUGUCAUCUGACUAUCUCUCACACCAUUGCCUACCUGACUCUCUGCCUUGUUCUCAUGCGGUCAUGCCCAGGUUGUUUGGUGCUGUGAAUGACAUCUUUUGCCUGUUCCAAGGGAACAUUG